rnacentral:rRNA from 1 species
AUUGAACUCUGGCGGCAUGCCUUACACAUGCAAGUCGAACGGCAGCACGGGAGCUUGCUCCUGGUGGCGAGUGGCGAACGGGUGAGUAAUAUAUCGGAACGUACCCAGCAGUGGGGGAUAGCCCGGCGAAAGCCGGAUUAAUACCGCAUACGACCUGAGGUUGAAAGCGGGGGAUCGCAAGACCUCGCGCAAUUGGAGCGGCCGAUAUCAGAGUAGGUAGUUGGUGGGGUAAAGGCUCACCAAGCCGACGAUCUGUAGCUGGUCUGAGAGGUCGACCAGCCACACUGGGACUGAGACACGGCCCAGACUCCUACGGGAGGCAGCAGGGGGGAAUUUUGGACAAUGGGCGCAAGCCUGAUCCAGCCAUGCCGCGUGCGUGAAGAAGGCCUUCGGGUUGUAAACCGCUUUUGUCAGGGAAGAAACGCUCUGGGUUAAUACCCUGGGGUAAUGACGGUACCUGAAGAAUAAGCACCGGCUAACUACGUGCCAGCAGCCGCCGUAAUAC